rnacentral:sRNA from 1 species
CAGGCCCCGGCCGUGGCGAAAGUGCCGACGGAGCCGGAGACCCGCUCCCAGAGACGCCGCCUCGCGAUCCCCGCGCGGGCGGGACCGGGCGGCCGGCGUCAUGACCCUGUUUCACUUCGGGAACUGCUUCGCUCUUGCCUACUUUCCCUACUUCAUCACCUACAAGUGCAGCGGCCUGUGAGUGCGGGAAGGGCGCGGGGCGGAGAGGGCGCGGAGCCCGGGCCGACCCUCACCUCCUGCUUCUCCAGGUCCGAGUACAACGCCUUCUGGAAAUGCGUCCAGGCUGGAGUCACCUACCUCUUUGUCCAACUCUGCAAGAUGCUGUUCUUGGCCACUUUCUUUCCCACCUGGGAAGGCGGCAUCUAUGACUUCAUUGGGGAGUUCAUGAAGGCCAGCGUGGAUGUGGCAGACCUGAUAGGUCUAAACCUUGUCAUGUCCCGGAAUGCCGGCAAGGGGGAGUACAAGAUCAUGGUUGCUGCCCUGGGCUGGGCCACCGCCGAGCUUAUUAUGUCCCGGUGCGUGCAACAGCCUGGAGCCCAGACCCCUGAGAAGGGACACCUGGGUUCCACGGGGGUGCUGGAGGGCAGGGGCUCAAAGCCUGGUGCUGAAGGUGUCUAGGUACUGGAGAAUCCCAUCCUUUGCCUUCCUCAGCUGCAUUCCCCUAUGGGUCGGAGCCCGGGGCAUUGAGUUUGACUGGAAGUACAUCCAGAUGAGCAUCGACUCCAACAUCAGUCUGGUCCAUUACAUCGUCGCGUCUGCUCAGGUCUGGAUGAUAACACGCUAUGAUCUGUACCACACCUUCCGGCCAGCUGUCCUCCUGCUGAUGUUCCUCAGUGUCUACAAGGCCUUCGUUAUGGAGACCUUCGUCCACCUCUGCUCCCUAGGCAGUUGGACAGCCCUACUGGCCCGAGCAGUGGUAACGGGGCUGCUGGCCCUCAGCACUUUGGCCCUGUAUGUCGCCGUUGUCAAUGUGCACUCCUAGGCUUGGUGUCUCAGACAUUGAUGUACCUUUUCCCUGCCUCGCUCCAGGUUUUAGUGAAGUAAACAGUAUUUGGAA